rnacentral:rRNA from 1 species
UACAGAGGUCCCAAGCGUUGUUCGGAUUUACUGGGCGUAAAGGGUGCGUAGGUGGCGAGGUAAGUUCGAUGUGAAAUCUCUGAGCUCAACUCGGAAAUGGCAUUGAAUACUAUCCCGCUUGAGGGUCGGAGGGGAGACUGGAAUUCUCGGUGUAGCAGUGAAAUGCGUAGAUAUCGAGAGGAACACCAGUGGCGAAGGCGAGUCUCUGGACGACUCCUGACACUGAGGCGCGACAGCGUGGGGAGCAAACAGG